ensembl:lncRNA
UGAAUGAGUAAAAGUAUAUAAUAAACAUAUAGAAAUAAAAAACAUUUUUUUACAUUAGUAAUUCAUUGUGUGCAUAAUUUUAAAUUGCUGUUGACAAUGAAUUAAUUAAAGCAACAAAACAACCUAAAGUGCCGGUGAAGAGUCGAAAGAGCCAGGUUUGGGGUUUUUUUGGAGAGGCGACCCGAAAGAGCCAGUUCUCUAAAAAGAGCUGGAAUUCCCAUCACUACAAGCGUAUUGUUGGGUAAUUGAUAGCGAGCUGAGCUGAGCUGAGCUAACUGUGUUUGUGUUUGCCUGUCUUCAGGAGGAAGGGCGAGACGGAGAGACUGGAGGAGAGAUUCACGGAGUUUGGGGAAUUUAUUGGACACUGACGCAUUACCACGCACCACGGGAAAAGGGAGAGUGCCACGAAGGAAGAUUUGCGCUGUGGAUUGUUGUUUACUCAUUUCCUCACAGUAAACCAUAGCGCUGAUCUACUAUACCAAGGGAUCCGAGUCUGGGUCCGCUAACCACUUCUGACAAGUACAACACAUCAGAUCGUCCUCCAUUCACAAAGCAGAUUUAAUCUUAACAGUGAUGGAAGAAGCAGCUACCAGAACAAGAGGGCGAACUUGCUUCAGAUUCAUCAAGUGCUUGUUUGUCUUUAUAAUUCUGUUCAUCUUAUCUCUUCUGUGCCUUAUUUUCAUGGCAAUCUGGGCCAAGGACCAAGUGUUUCAGCAAAUACAGAAAAGAGUAAACGAAGAAGUUGACAAACACAAGGAAGAUGACGUGAAUAGAAGAGCAGCAAUCACAAAAAUAUUGGAUCUCACAAGUUCACUGGAUAACAAGGAAAAACUGGAAAUAUUCAAGGAAACCCUUCAAACAGCGAUAGAACAGGAAGAGAGACUGAAGGAAGAAUCCAAGUACAAAAUGACAAUGGCCUCAAAACAAUUCAAUGAAAAAAUGAAGGAACUUAUGCCUCAAAUAGAACACGCGAUCAGAUUAUCAUAUAACUCUCCACCCCUGCAGGAAAUAAUUGACAUCGGAUUUCACAUGAUAACAAAUACCAGAGCUUACAUAGACAAGAAGCUGGAUUUGCUGCAAGAAUAGAGAACUCAGAAAAGAUAAAUGAAAGGAGUAAACGAUGAGCUUCAGAAAACUGUAAGAGAAACAAUAAAUUGAACUUGUGUUUCUGUUUUCAUUUGUUGACCUAUGUAACGUAUAUCAUGUAUUUGUGAAAGGACAUAAUCUGAAUUGUUUUUGUGACUUUCUCUAAUUGUAUACUUCUUAGCUGCAUAACAUCUUACCCUAUAAUGGUCUCUGAGUGGUAUUAUAAAGUGAAAAGCUUCACUCCUGGUGUGAGGCCUAAGCAAGAGCACAGUUGAGCUCUUCAGUCUUGAUGCUGUAAUGACUGCAGUAGUGAAACCUGGAUCCUUGGGUAGGCAGCACAACUUGUCAGUUUGUUGCAGUUAUUUAAGUUCCAGUGUUGCAGUUGUUUAGGCUGUGUUUAACUUUCUUAUCACAAAGAGACCAGAAAAAGGCAGACCUGCAUAGUGUAGUAUCCGUUCUGUUCUGAAACUAAACCUGAGGUUUCCAAAUCUAGCUAGUGCUUCCACAUGUAUCAUCUGGUGUUGGCAGCAUGUAACCAAUCAUAGACAUGAACAGGUCUACUGGCAAGUUGUUCUCCCACCUCAUGGAUUCUCUGCUUACAGUAAUAAUAUUUUGAUCAUAUUAGCUAAUGUAAUCAAAACAAAACAAAAUGUUUUUAUCACAUUACACAAGAAUAUUAAACACAUAAACACAAAUAGUACAGUGUGUGAGUGUGUGUGUGUCUUUGUUGAUGUUUAAUUUACUUCUUUACUUAGAAGAGUUUUUCUGAUUAGAAAAAUACUGCUACAGUGUAUACCAUUACAUUGCCCGCAUGCGCAAAAGAAGCUGUCACACACAACUCGCUCUGUUUAGACCCAGAGCAAACAAUAUUGUUUGACUGAUGGCCCUUAAUAUAAAGACUUCGGACUUUACGUUUCCCAAUUUUUGCUUCAAGUUAUUUUGUUAUUUACAUAAUAAUGUAAAUAACCUAAUAAUUAUCCUUAUUGCUGUUUUAGAGAGGAGAGGUGCUUCAAAGGAUAAUUGCAGAUUUCUUUCAGAAUCUGCAGAUUAUACAGUACAAAUAAAAUGUUCACGUUGUCUUCCCAACAGUUUCACUGACAUCUACAUUGGAUGGCCAGGAAGCGUUCAUGAUGUCUUCUCAGGCACUUCUCCGGCGCUGAUAAUUGGCGUCUGUCUUGUGUCAGUGACGUAAAAGAUGGAUUUAAUCCGACAUGACCGUUCAAACAGCAGUUGCUUUCUAAAACAUCGGAUAUGUAUCGGAUUUGGUACCACAUACAAAAGUGACCCAGAUCGGAUUUGAAAAUAUCGGAUUUGUGCCGUUCACACUGUCAUACCAUGAUUGGAUAUGGGUUGCAUAGGGUCAAAAAAUCGGAUUUGUGUAAACAAAGCCUAAGUGUGUUCAUAUGCUG